rnacentral:rRNA from 1 species
CGAUGAAAGAAGCAGGACAAUGGAACAUAUCCAUUGAUUUUCUGUUGACUCCAAAUUCUGACAUUUACUUAAGCGUGCUUGGGCGAGAGUAGUACUAGGAUGGGUGACCUCCUGGGAAGUCCUCGUAUUGCAUCCC